CAGUAGCCGCGGUAAUACAGAGGGUGCGAGCGUUAAUCGGAUUUACUGGGCGUAAAGCGUGCGUAGGCGGCUUUUUAAGUCGGAUGUGAAAUCCCUGAGCUUAACUUAGGAAUUGCAUUCGAUACUGGGAAGCUAGAGUAUGGGAGAGGAUGGUAGAAUUCCAGGUGUAGCGGUGAAAUGCGUAGAGAUCUGGAGGAAUACCGAUGGCGAAGGCAGCCAUCUGGCCUAAUACUGACGCUGAGGUACGAAAGCAUGGGGAGCAAACAGGAUUAGAUACCCCCGUAGCCCUGUCUCUUAUAAA
rnacentral:rRNA from 1 species